AUGCAUGUCUAAGCAUAAGCCGAAUAUGGUUAAGCCGCGAAUGGCUCAUUACAACAGCCAUAGUUUAUUGGAUCUUAACGUCCUACUUGGAUAACUGUAGUAAUUCUAGAGCUAAUACACGCAAAUUAUCCCUAACCUUACGGAAAGGGAGCAUUUAUUAGAACAAAACCAAUCGGCUUCGGCCGUUAUUGGUGAAUCUGAAUAACUACGCUGAUCGCACGGUCUCGUACCGGCGACGUAUCCUUCAAGUGUCUGCCUUAUCAACUGUCKAUGGUAGUUUACAUGACUACCAUGGUUGUAACGGGUAACGGAGAAUAAGGGUUCGACUCCGGAGAGGGAGCCUGAKAAACGGCUACCACAUCCAAGGAAGGCRGCAGGCGCGCAAAUUACCCACUCUCAGAACGAGGAGGUAGUGACGAAAAAUAACGAGACAGWCCUCUAUGAGGUCUGUCAUCGGAAUGGGUACAAUUUAAAUCCUUUAACGAGGAUCUAUUGGAGGGCAAGUCUGGUGCCAGCAGCCGCGGUAAUUCCAGCUCCAAUAGCGUAUAUUAAAGUUGUUGCKGUUAAAAAGCUCGUAGUUGGAUCUGCGGUCGUCGACACUGGUUCUCUUCUUGAGAUACUAGCUGUCGCGACCUACCUUGUUAGAUGUCUCUUGGUGCUCUUCACUGAGUGUCUUGAGCGUCUAGCUCGUUUACUUUGAAAAAAUUAGAGUGCUUAACGCAGGCAUUAGCCUGAAUAGUGGUGCAUGGAAUAAUGGAAUAGGACCUCGGUUCUAUUUUGUUGGUUUUCGGAGCAUGAGGUAAUGAUUAAGAGGGACAGACGGGGGCAUUCGUACUGCUACGUUAGAGGUGAAAUUCUUGGAUCGUAGCAUGACGAACAACUGCGAAAGCAUU
rnacentral:rRNA from 1 species